rnacentral:rRNA from 1 species
UACGGAGGGGGCUAGCGUUGUUCGGAAUUACUGGGCGUAAAGCGCGCGUAGGCGGCUUUGUAAGUUAGAGGUGAAAGCCCGAAGCUCAACUUCGGGAUUGCCUUUAAGACUGCAUCGCUAGAAUCAUGGAGAGGUUAGUGGAAUUCCGAGUGUAGAGGUGAAAUUCGUAGAUAUUCGGAAGAACACCAGUGGCGAAGGCGACUAACUGGACAUGUAUUGACGCUGAGGUGCGAAAGCGUGGGGAGCAAACAGG